rnacentral:lncRNA from 1 species
CAUGGAUGAGGUUGCAAGGUCCAAUUAGAUAAACUCAUCCUCGCUGGCAGAUAAUGGCACCAAUGUGAUCAUCCUCCUAGAGGUAUUUUCAUCUUGGUAUGGAGCCUCCAGAGCUAUCUUUGCUUGAAAGAAUGAAACUUCAGGAAUGAAAGUUUGCACAUAAAGCAAGCCCAUGAGAAAGACAUUUCGGGAAAACUAGAAUCCUGUUAAGUUAUGGGAUUUUUUUCAAGCCACAUGGUUGAUAAGUAGUCUGACCAGGAUCCUGGAGCAACACAAGGAAGACAAGGACCCUUGAAGACAAGGCAGCCUUGAAACCAAAUGAAGCCCUGGGCCAGUGAGCAUGGCAAGAGGAAGACUGUUAAUUGCGAGAAAGCUGGGUCUUGAAGAUGAUUCCAUAUCAACAUACAGGGAGUUCCACCACUGAAUGGUCUAUCGGUUGGGAAUGCCAUCAUUUAUUUUCACCAGUGGGGAAGAAUUGGUAUUAAUAUCAAAACCACAGUACUGUCAUACCCAGCUAUAAUUUGCAAUGUUUAUAUGCCUGUACGAAUGAAUAAUUAACAGUUAAAUGAAUCAAUAUAUAUCUAUCUAUGUGUAGGAAUAUCUAAUCUAUAAUAUAUGCUCGCGUAAGUGGUAAUUAAUCUCUUUUUUGAGACAGGGUCUUUCUCUGUCAUACAGGCUGGAGUGCAAUGACAUGAUUAUGGACCUUCAGGGAUUGAGCAGCUCGACAUCCCAAGGAUCAAGCAAUCCUCCGGCCUCAGCCUACCAAGUAGCUGGGACUACAGCCAUUUGACACCCC